rnacentral:rRNA from 1 species
CCUACGGGUGGCAGCAGUGAGGAAUAUUGGUCAAUGGACGAGAGUCUGAACCAGCCAAGUAGCGUGAAGGAUGACUGCCCUAUGGGUUGUAAACUUCUUUUAUAUGGGAAUAAAAUGUUCCACGUGUGGGCUUUUGUAUGUACCAUAUGAAUAAGGAUCGGCUAACUCCGUGCCAGCAGCCGCGGUAAUACGGAGGAUCCGAGCGUUAUCCGGAUUUAUUGGGUUUAAAGGGAGCGUAGGUGGAUUGUUAAGUCAGUUGUGAAAGUUUGCGGCUCAACCGUAAAAUUGCAAUUGAUACUGGCAGUCUUGAGUACAGGUGAGGUAGGCGGAAUUCGUGGUGUAGCGGUGAAAUGCUUAGAUAUCACGAAGAACUCCGAUUGCGAAGGCAGCUUACUAGACUGCCACUGACAUUGAUGCUCGAAAGUGUGGGUAUCAAACAGGAUUAGAUACCCCUGUAGUC